UACGGAGGGGCUAGCGUUGUUCGGAAUUACUGGGCGUAAAGGGCGCGCAGGCGGCUGCUCAAGUCAGGCGUGAAAGGCCUGGGCUCAACCCGGGAAUUGCGCUUGAGACUGGGCUGGCUUGAGUGCGGGAGAGGAUGGUGGAAUUCCCAGUGUAGAGGUGAAAUUCGUAGAUAUUGGGAAGAACACCGGUGGCGAAGGCGGGCCAAUCUGGACCGCA
rnacentral:rRNA from 1 species